UCCUUUUUGGUUCAUAGGCAUAUGAUCACGCUGUUGUGUGAGCCUCCCGCUAAACAUUGUUAUGAUGUCAGCACAUUCCCCAUGUG
rnacentral:snoRNA from 1 species